CCUACGGGUGGCAGCAGUAGGGAAUCUUUCACAAUGGGCGAAAGCCUGAUGGAGCAACGCCGCGUGCAGGAUGAAGGCCUACGGGCUGUAAACUGCUUUUAUAAGCGAGAAAUAUGAUGGUCACUUAUGAAUAAGGAUCGGCUAACUACGUGCCAGUAGCCGCGGUCAAACGUAGGAUCCGAGCAUUAUCCGGAGUGACUGGGUGUAAAGAGUUUCGUAGGUGGUAAAAUAAGUAUCUAGUGAAAUCUGGUGGCUCAACCAUUCAGACUAUUAGCGAGACUGUUAAGCUCGAAAACGUUGGGGGUAAGAGGAAUUUCUGGUGUAGGAGUGAAAUGCGUAGAUAUUAGAAGGAACACCGAUAGCGUAGGCAGGUUACGGGGACGGGUCUGACACUGAGGCACGAAAGCGUAGGGAGCAAACGGGAUUAGAUACCCUUGUAGUC
rnacentral:rRNA from 1 species